rnacentral:tmRNA from 1 species
GGGGGCGUCACGGUUUCGACGGGAUCGAUUGCGGCAAAGGAGACAUGCCGGGGUGCGGGCACCCGUAAUCGCUUGCAAAAACAAAGUUGCCAACCAAGAACUGGCACUUGCUGCUUAAUUAACUAAGCAGCCGUCUUCCACGGCUUUGCCUACGGGCUGUGAGCGGACGUCAUACUGCAGGCUGGCUUGAGUGGCUCGGUCCGGGCGGCAAGAGCGAGAUCAAUCGGACUAGUCCCGGACGUAUCUUGUCCGUUCUAUAGCGAUCGGGGCGAACCUUCUAGAAGCGGACAAAGCAUGAACUCUCCUGGCUGACAGCGAUUUCGGACGCGGGUUCGACUCCCGCCGCCUCCACCA